rnacentral:lncRNA from 1 species
GUACGAUUUCCAUUAUCAUCAGCACAGGAAACAGUUUACUUUUUGUUUAGAUAGUAACUAAAAAGAUAGUUUUAUCAACUGAAUCUGAACCCAUAUAGAAUCUCUCUCUCUCUCUAAUUUUGGAACAUAAAACACUGAAUAUCGGCCGAGAUUAACCGGGAAUUCUCUGCAGAAUUUUAAUAAUAAAAUUGCGAUUGUGUUCCGGAUAACGCGCGAUUUUAAUAUUCAAGAAUGCAACAUGAUACUCGACAAAUCAGUGACGAUACCCGCCACGAAAAAUAUCAUUUUGGUAGGCAGUUAUGAGGUUGGAGCGAUAAAUCGGUACCGUCGACUGAUUUAUCGCACCGAAUUAUGUCAACACUACUCGAUAAACGUCAACACUAUUCGACCAGAACUUUUUAAAAAGAUUACUGGGGCUAAAACGAAUUCGAAACACGCUAAAUGCCAGUCACCAAAAGAAGAAGGAGUAAAAUAUGUUGGGCUAAAUCGAUGAUUAAACUUAAUUAAUGCGCAAAAAUAAUUUUGCAUAAGUCUGCCCGUCGAUUGGCACAUCCGACGAGUCAUCA